rnacentral:rRNA from 1 species
UACGUAGGGGGCAAGCGUUAUCCGGAAUUACUGGGUGUAAAGGGUGAGUAGGCGGCAUGGUAAGCCAGAUGUGAAAGCCUUGGGCUUAACCCGAGGAUUGCAUUUGGAACUAUCAAGCUAGAGUACAGGAGAGGAAAGCGGAAUUCCUAGUGUAGCGGUGAAAUGCGUAGAUAUUAGGAAGAACACCAGUGGCGAAGGCGGCUUUCUGGACUGAAACUGACGCUGAGGCUCGAAAGCGUGGGGAGCGAACAGG